AGAUAGCCAAUUUCUCAUCUGCCUCGCCUCUCAUCCUACCUAUUCUCUCUCUUCCCAUUAGAUCUGGCUUUCAUGAUUCUUUCACGACGCUCCUCAAUCGUUCCUACGCCAUGGCUCUUGACGAGAUCCUCGCGCCAGUCUACGGAGACCUCGAGGUAGUCUCGAUUUCUCUCUCUCUCUCUCGCAUUCGUAUUUGGGGAAAUUAAGGUUUCUAAAUACUAUAUCUGUUGUAUCGAUAUCGAGUUUUCGUAGCGUAAGCAUCUACAUUCGGGAUCCUGAUUUUGAAGUUCCUUGUGAGCGAUGUCAUGUUCUUAUCUGGGCGAAUCAGGAUUGCAAAUUGUUAAUUGAUAUUUGGAACUCAUAACUAAGCCUAGAUCUGUUGCAUGGAUAUAGAGUCGUUUUCGAAAUUUGAGCGCCUGCAAUUAGGAUCUUCAUCCUAGUAGCUAUUCAAAUCAUUCCACAUGUUUGACAUUGCAGCCAGCGUAUUCUACAUGGCUUACUAGUAGAAUAAUCAUGAAAUUAAUCCAGAUGUCUUGAGUAAGAACGACGAAAUGUUGGUGAUAAAUAAGACAGACACUAUGAGCAUCAAUGAACUCAGGAAUCUCGUAGGUAUCAGAUGAGAUGCCUGAGGAUAUUGUGCUUCGAUGUCUAUGGUGACCAACUGUUCCAUCAAUAGCAGCUAAUAGUACAAGGACAUAUAGAAAUAUGACAUGUCUAGGACAUGAUAGAUUGAUGCUGAUGGAUGUUAGGGGCAUUGUUAUGAAUACCAAACAUCAUGAUUGAGAAAAGGGGUUAGCCAUGCUUUUGCAUCUAUAUCAUCAGCCGUAUCAGUAACAAUCCUGUUGUUAUGUAGGCUCUAUCUGCCCAUAUAGGAAAUAUUCUUCACUUAGAAGAGAGUUGUGCACAAUCUUCGAAGAAUUAAAUCCAUCUGUGUUUGGUGGACUUGCAUAGUGAACAAUAAAAAGGAAGAAGCAGUCAUGACCAUAUGUAUUUGUUGAUAGAACUACACGAGAGAUUCAUAGAAUAGUUAGGGAGUUGAUGAGCAAAAGGAGAUACUGUGGAUUGUGCACCUUUCAUUCGCAGUACAUGAAAUUCUGAACUCUACUGCUGUCUCCGCAUCUGAUCUCCCAGAGGGUAUUUCCCUCAGUUUGGUGAAGAUCCUGAGCUCAGUCCUGAUUCUUUUUUCCUAUGGUAGGCGUUCCUCUAGUUUAUUUCACUUCUGUUCUCCCUGACAUAUCUUCCUGCCAUUAAGGACCAUCUGCAAAGACAGUAAUAGAGAAGUCUAGGUUCUGCUAAAUAAGCAAAUCACACGUAUACAAUCCUUAUGAAAAACUUAAUUUGAAGCAUAUUUAAUUUUCUGAUACAGAAUUUCUAUGUUUGAUAUUGUACAUGCAUUGCUGGUUAGGUGAUCUGGUGUUAUUUUCAACCCAGGGCACUACUAGUUGGUCAGCAGGUUAUCAAUUUCUCUAGCUAUGUUCUGAUUUGAACUUACAUGAUAUGCUUUCAAUUAUUCUCAAAGUGUUUUCGGGUCCUAUUAACGUAACUCUUUUUCAUAUUUUAUACAUAACUUUUUGCUAGUUUUCUUAAUUAAAUCCUGUUAAGUUUGAUUUCUGCACCAAAAGAACUUCAUAGGAUUUAAUCUUAGUCUCUUUGGGAAAUAAUUGACGUUGAUUCCUACUUUCUUGGAUUUGGUAAAGUUUUCUUUUUUUUUUUUCACUUCAAAAACGUUUUUAUUUCAAUUGCAUUAAUCACUUCUGCUAUGGUUGUCUGAUGAAGCUGGAGGUCAUCGUCGGGAUCUUCAUUUAAGUUCAAAUUGGAUUAGUAGCUGAAAAACAAUCUUUCUUUUGCUAUAUAUUGAUUAGUUCUUGGUAAAUGUGCUUGGAAAUUUGUUGGUGCAGAAUUCAAAGUAAAUCAAAUUUAAUCAAGAAAACUAACAAAACUAUGCUUGAAAUAUACAAACAGACGUAUAGUGAUGAAAUCCGGAAGUAUGUUGGAGACUGUCCAAAGGUAAAAAACCUCAUGUUCAUGUGGGAUGAUGUGGUAAAGUUUUCCCCAAAGAUAUGAUUUACAAAAGAGUAGAGUUGUAAGAAUUUUUUUCUUAAGAUGUCAGUUAGUUUAGCUAUUAAAGAUCUUGACAGUUUAUCGUAAGAUCAUGGGUACGAAGAAUUCAGCCUUCGUUAUUUAUCCUUUGCUAAAAAAAAAGGAAGUGAAUAAAAGUGAGGAAAAAAUAGUAGAUUGAUGGAGAUUUGGAUAGUUCCAAUAAAAGUUCAAGAGCGAUCGUUUUAGUCCUUAAUGACCCAAAAAAUUACACAUUAGUUCAGUUAUAAUAAGAAAGGAAAACAAUAAAAUGCAUUAAGUCAGGUCAAACAAAAAAAUAGUCAACAGUUCAAACUUAAAACCAAAAUGGAAAGGAGAAAGAAAAAAAAAAGAGAGAGAAAAUGUCUUUCCGUGAUCUUCUUCUCUAUCUUCAUAGUAGUUCUAAGAAAUCCGGAACGAGAAUUAGAGUGCGUUACUCUGUAAUUAUACUUUUUUCUAUGUGGAUGCUACUUUUUCUGUCAUAAAAAUGAAAUAGCAUGGACUGACUAAGAAAGUUGGUUUCCUAAACUCAAAAGAGCAUGGACUUGGGCGAUUAGCUUCAAUCAGAAUAUCCUAAUGUUGUGUAUCCGCUGAAGAUUACAUAAUGUUCAUCUAAUGCUGAAGAUAUUAGCUAUAUCUAAAUGUUCUUAUAGCUAUACCGAAGGAUGAUCUAAUGUUUAUAUGGGCAUUUUGCCUGCAUCUCAGCCUGGUUUUCACAUAUUAAACACUGGUUGUAUUUGAAAUAUGUUCAACCAGCGGAGGAAGCGUGUUUGGAGAGAGAAGAGGCAGCACCGGUUACUGUUGCCUCUUCUCUUAGAUGCAACCAUGUCAUCAGCUUCUCCCUCAGCUGUUAUUGCUGCCUCUUCUCUCUCCAAACAUGCUUCCUCCGUUGGAUGAACAUAUAUCAAAUACAACCGGUGUUCUGUACCUGCAUAACAAAACAAAUUUAUUAGAUGCAAGAGGGGCUACGGGAGGGUAGAUUAGCCACAGGGUGGUGUGGAAGAACUGCGCCCACUGGCUUGGAUGAAAAGGACAGUUUGGUGACCACAUGCCCUUUUAUCGCCACACUGUUGCACCGGUUGAGGCCAUCGGUGCGUCAACUUCGUCGUCCCUCUUCGAUAAUAAGACAACCCACAGUCGGGAGUUCAUCCGCUCCGGGAGGUAUGGGACUUCAAGAGGUGAUCCAUCACGUCAAAGAUGGAGUAGUAAGAGAGGAG
rnacentral:lncRNA from 1 species